GACGAACGCUGGCGGCGUGCCUAAUACAUGCAAGUAGAACGCACAGUUUAUACCGUAGCUUGCUACACCAUAGACUGUGAGUUGCGAACGGGUGAGUAACGCGUAGGUAACCUGCCUGGUAGCGGGGGAUAACUAUUGGAAACGAUAGCUAAUACCGCAUAAUAUUGAUUAUUGCAUGAUAAUUGAUUGAAAGAUGCUAUUGCAUCACUACCAGAUGGACCUGCGUUGUAUUAGCUAGUAGGUGAGGUAACGGCUCACCUAGGCGACGAUACAUAGCCGACCUGAGAGGGUGAUCGGCCACACUGGGACUGAGACACGGCCCAGACCCCUACGGGAGGCAGCAGUAGGGAAUCUUCGGCAAUGGACGAAAGUCUGACCGAGCAACGCCGCGUGAGUGAAGAAGGUUUUCGGAUCGUAAAGCUCUGUUGUAAGAGAAGAACGGGUGUGAGAGUGGAAAGUUCACACUGUGACGGUAUCUUACCAGAAAGGGACGGCUAACUACGUG
rnacentral:rRNA from 1 species